GCUCCAAUGCCACGUUGCUGGUAGCUACAAGCUAUGACCAAUGUGCUAUGAUUGGACCAAGAGCAAGAAUGUUCAUUUGUUUCACAUUUUGAUAGGAACCUGCGGAUCUUAAUACACUAUGAUUUAUGGAGCCGUUUCAUGUGAUUACAUUC